UGUCUUUUCCAGAAGCACCUGGCUGCACUGUUCAUUUUUCUACACCUUUAGGUGCUUGAACCUGUCACUCCAGCCUUUCAAUUCUGAAAGCACAGCUCAGACCUCUGAUGAAAGAAAAGGGAGCAAUGGAGGCACCAAAAGGUGGACUGACUUGCCCAAGGUCUCAAAAGUGGCAGAGCCAAGAAAAGAAACUAGGUUUUAUAUCUGUUACUCUGUCUACUGCACUGAGUCAUUUCUAUUGUCAUUGUCAAUGGUGAGAGAAGUGCAAGAUGGAGACAGGUAGCAAGAAUGAUGAAAAAAAACUCCGCCUCAAGCUGAGGAUGACUGAUAAAGAACUAAGGGGGCCAGGGCAUGCAUGUGCCAGCAGUGCCAUGAGACAGCUGCUGCACACAAACACCAUGACCAGACUCUUCUAUCAAAAAUAUCUGAUUGACGGCAUGGGGAUGCACAGCCGCCUGUAGCGGAGCACCCACAGAGACAGCAUUUGAAGGAGCAUGAGUGGCAGGCAAUAUUACGGACAACAAACAAUUCAAACAGCUUUACUUUUUUGGCCUUCAAUGGACUGUGGACAUGUCCUCAGACUUGGCUUCCUGUGUAUCCCAGCAGGAUCAGCCUGAGGAAAAAGGGGUGAGAAGAAAUGACUUGCAUACCUCUAAAUUGCCAACCAGUUAAAGGAAUGGAAUACAGGGAGCCAAAAAUGUAUUUUUAUAUAAAACAAACACUGAGAAAUUAAAAGCACUCUUUUGGGAGGAGUGUUUACUGAUAGAUAGAGAGAUACCUAUAAAGAAAUGUUCAUUAAAAGGAGAUAUUACUUUCUAUUUUUGUAGUCAAAUAAUUGAUACAGAUAUAACACUGAAGUUGUUUUUCAAAAAGAUUUUAGUCUGCAAGACAUCUCAACUCUUUUCACCUUUUCUUCAAGGCGUAAAGCUCUGAUCCUGCAGCAGAAGAGAAAGCUUUGAAGAUUCUUUUUAAAACAUGAAAGAUUCUGUUGUACCCAGAAUCCCAUAUUGAAUUCUCACAGAAAAAAAUCUGCAGUGUAGCUGUUUCAUUUGGGGGACAGGGGAGUGGGAAAAUGAAUUUUAAAAUGUGGGGUUUUUUUCUUCUCAGACAUGAUCUGCUUAUUAUACUCUGAUUAUAGCAGUAUAUGUUUCUUCCCUUGAACUCCUAAAAAAUUUCAAACCUGUAUCUUCAGGAUAUGUUCGUUGGUCACCUUACCUUCCUCUCCCCGUUAUUUUUUUUAAACACCAUUAUUAUGAAUCUAAAAGGCCACAUUUGAUCUUGUUGUAUCUAGCAUUCAACCCAACUGAAGUCAAAGGGAUUACCCAAGAUGUGCACCAGGCUAUAGCUGGUUCCCAUAUAUUAUAUUCUCAAGUCCCAAAUGCUAUGUGCAAGAUUCUGAUAUACCUACAGUAAACCUUUUUAUUUUUCACUAGGGGGUGGUGACCCCUGCUUGCUAUGCUUUCUCUGGGGUAAGGCAG